UCAUUUCUGUGCCCACACCAUGUCCAUACUGCCUGACCAAAUACAGUAGUCAGGGAGUAAAGUAGGCCUGGGUCCAGGGAGUAAUUCUCCAUAGAAGGUCACACACUGCAGCAAAUAAACCUCUGAGGCAUCACACGCUAAAAUAGGAUCAAGAGAGGUGAGGAGAUGUCCUAUGCCUUCUGGUUACAUCCAAUGUUCUCAAGUAGCACAGAAUACCUAGAAACAAGGAGCAUGGACAGGAUGUUUGCUUUGUCCUAAAUCUGUUCCUUUUCCUGAAACAAUGCCUACUCAUUCUCCCUGUACCUUCUGUUGUCAGAAGCCCCAUCCUUCUGUUGCUUCUGUCUCCACUUGCCCAGGGCAUUUCUGACCCAAAUCGCAAAGCCUUGACCAGGGACUGGGUGCUAGACCCUGGCUGAACAAAAAGGAUGUUAUUUUGGGCUCAGAAGAGAGAGGGUCUCCCCAACCUGGAUCAGCUGCUCUGACUAGGCUGGUCCACAUUGCUCUGUUCCUUCUUCCACUCCUUUCCAGCCCUCUAUUGGGGUCCACUAUUAUGAAUGAGGCAUGGUAACUGUGCCCAUUCCCUUUUUGAGUGCUCAGACUUAUAAGGGAAGAGAGGCUCCGUCUAUGAAUUCUGUAUGAACAUUGGCACUUUACCCAGUCAUCAUGGGGCUCAGCCCUGGCUUCCUGGCAUAUUAGGUACUUCCUGUGAUGGGCAUACCACUGCCCCCAAUUUAACUCAACCCACUGAAGACUCAUGGAUCAGGUGUCAGAUUCCUCUGACCAGAGGAAGUCUCACAAGAGAAGGACUCCAUUCCAAGAAGAGACUUCUUAGGGUUCAUCCAAGAUUCUCUUCUAGCCUAAAGUUGUCUCAGGACACAGGGAAAGACCACUGUAUGUCUAUAGAAAGGGGCUGCCACCUCUCCUGACUGGCCUUGUGAGAGGCUGCUCUAUAGCCCAGUAUCCAGCUGGUCUGGGUAUGGAGUCUUUGAUCCCUGGAACAGUCCAGAAACCUAGUUAGGAAGCAAAUGCUCCAUAUGGAAUGCUACCUUAUCUUCCAAAGUAAAGACAUGAACACAGAGAUGCUAGUUGGUGCUGAUGUUAGGAGCUUUUCUCAGAGAGUAUAGAUAGACUCACGUUACUCUCACAGAAAAGAAAUCUAUGAAGUGGGGUCAGUUCUUAUCCCUACUUUACAGAGGGAGAAUGGAUAGCCAGAGAAGCCGGUGAGUGGUUCCCAGGUGUGUGUGCUUAGCCACAGUCCUCUCUAUUCCCUUCCCAUUGUCCCUCAGGCAAUGUCAGGGAGAAAAAAGAGCGGGUUCUUCUCAGAACUGUGACCAGGAAUUGGGCUGACGGGAUGGGGAUAAUUCCUCAUGACAUGGUUUUUAUUUCAGACAUGGUACAGAAUGUUGUUUCUGGUUACAAGAAUAAGCAAAACUGAUCUAAGAGAGUGGGGUCACUGCAAGGGGUUCUGUGGGGGAACUUCUGAAGGUAGAAGGUGGGUGGGAGACAUAACUAAAAGGCAUAACCUCAGACACUCCCAUGCUUUAGGUGUUCUCACUAUUUCUCUUUCCUCCAGGAAUGGUGUCCUCUGGGUGGCACUCUGGCAGCCUCCCUGUAGUAACCGCAGCCCUGAAGGGCUUACUGAGGACCUGCCCUGAGAGGCAGGAAGUUGGCACAGAGUUGGGUGGUCCCAGCCCCUAUGUUAAUGUUCUAUACUCCAUGUAGACGAGUGAUGGCUUCACAGCUCUCCAUCAGUGAAGACAAACCUGGCUCAUUCCAUCUGAACAUCAUUUCCUGAGCCUAGCCUGCACUUCAAGUCUUAGACCAUGCAUGCCGUGAGUCAGGUGGGAUGGAUGACUAGUGUCAUUAGAUGACAACAGAUAGUUGGAUUAAACUAGAGAACAUCUUGACCAAGUCCACACUGUAUGUUUGACCUCCUGGCCUCAUACCCCUGCCAGAAACCACCUGUAUCUCCAGCCACCUCAGCUGGUCAGGAGUUCAUGGGCAGGUAGUACUAGGAGAAAGGGCUGAGAACUAUAAAUGUAUAGCCUUGGGCCAUACUUCCCUCAUGGACCUGGAGACAUGGAUACAAAGUUCUGUUUGAGAGGAAGUUGGUGCUUUUGCUAUUUACAGAAGUGGGGUGGCAACACUGGGUCCCAUAAUAUGUGACCCAGGAAGGAUGGUAGAACCUAUGAACCCCUUCUCAUGAGAAAAAUCAAACCUUAUAAAAUUACAAUUGUAUUGAAUACACUUAGAAAACUCCUCUAAUGUACGGAAUAGAACAGAUGUGGUUCUUUAUGAAUGCAUCAGUCACCAGGCCCUUGCAGGGGACUGAUAAGGACAUAAUCUGAAAGUACUUGAUGAGGGCAAAGAAUAUAUCUGCAGAUGUCACAUGAUGGGAAAACCUCAAUAAUUUAUAAGGGUUGGUGGUUUUUCUGUGGUUUGUGGACUCCAUUUUUGGAAAGAAAAACUACAUUUCAGUUACAGGAUAGGGAAAGAAAGAUGCAAUGUUUCUUCCUAUCCACGCAUGAGAGGACCCUGUAUUGCACCUCUCAGACCCAUAGUCUAAACCUCUGGGAGCUUUUGGGUGUCUGUUCAUCUGUCAGAUGUCUGGUGGGUUGAGAUGGCAGAGGGAAAAACAUGGAAUGCACUUGUCUUAUGAUUUGGUUCUCAGACGUUCAUAUCCACAUUGACAUACAUACAACAUUUAAACAAGUCCACAGGCCCAUUGUCUCUUGUUCUUUCAAAUUCAAACAACACCUGCACGUUUUUGUUUACACGUUUCUGAUGUGGACAGAGGCAAAGUCCAUUGUGUUUACACAGUGAUGGUCAUUUCACACUCUCCUUAAGCCUACACUUCCACCCUGCAAAGCAGGCAUCACUAUUUCCCUGCAGAGUAGGAAACUGAGGCUCUGAAUAGUGAAACCUUGUGCCCAGGUUCACACAACACUUGGCCACAGAGCUGGGAAAUGCCUUGCUUCAAAACCUGUUGUCAUUGUGUUAAGCCAGGCUCUCUGCAAAAUAGCCUUUUUCAUCUCUUUAAAGAAAGAAACACAUAACAUUUUAAUCUUUCAUCUUGAGGUUGUGACAAAGGCCGAGCAGGAGAAACUUGGAUUGAAGUUGAAGGUGAUUCUUGGACAGGCUUCAUUUAUAUGUUUUUGUCUCUGAGACAAAGUAGCUCAUGGUUACUUAUAGAAAAUGAGACCUGGAAUUCAGAGUGUGAAAUUAGGUUUUGUCAUUUCCUGAAAACCUGUUUUCAGGAAGGAAAAGGUAGGUGACCUCCAACCGCUCCCUAGUCUUUAAUUUUUUUUUCAACGUUUAUUUAUUUUUGGGACAGAGAGAGACAGAGCAUGAACAGGGGAGGGGCAGAGAGAGAGGAAGACACAGAAUCGGAAAUAGGCUCCAGGCUCUGAGCCAUUAGUCCAGAGCCUGACGCGGGGCUCGAACUCAUGGACCGAGAGAUCGUGACCUGGCUGAAGUCGGACGCUUAACCGACUGAGCCACCCAGGCACCCCUCCCUAGUCUUUAAACAGUGAUCUUCCAGGCUUUUCCUCAGGCUCCUAGGAGGAUAAAUUUGAAGGUAGGUGGAAUGUGGGGCAGGGAAUUUGGAUUUCCUUCCUAAAUUGGCAAAAUUCAAAUGGGCUUUUGGAAAGGAGCAUUGAUGAUGUAAGGUUAGAAUGACAGGAUCUGAAAAUCCUGGCUCUGCCAUUUUGGUAGACAAUCAAGGUGUCUUGGGCCUGGCAAGUAACAAAUAUAGUUGGAUAUGGCUCUUUGUAGGAAGGUGACUUUGGAAUCAAGAAAUCAGGGAUCUUGGUUAAGGGGAUAUUUGCCUCAGAAUAUGGCAGGCUCAGAAUUUUCUAGCACAUGGAGAGCUGCUAUCUGUGACUUCUGCAUCUUGGCCAAAUCCUCCUACUUCAGCUUUAGAAAGAGCUCCAAUACCUUCCACAUCCAUGCAAAGAAAGAAAUCCUCUUUGUGAAUUCUUUCUAGGGAAGGGAGGCCCUUUGAUAACAAAGACAUCUUUUUCAUCUUUGCAUUCCAACAAGAGGCAUAUCUGUCAUAAAACCAGGGUUUGACAAAUUCUCACUUGCCAAGUGAAGGAGUGGAUAAAUGAAUGGGCAACUCUAUCCAGGUCUUGGGUUGCUAGACAAGAGACCUGGGCUCCAUGGUCCUGACAUUUCUCCUCUCACUUAAGCCUUUUGCAGGGCUACCACGUCUACAUAUUCAGCCCUGAAGAGUCUCCUUACCACCUGUGUCCUUGCUGCCUUGGUUUCUAGCAUUGUGGGUAAGAAUGAAAAAAAUGGCCUCUUUCUCCCCAAAACUGGAAGAGUAAGGUAGACAAUACAGAAAAUAAACCAACUUGGGAGAGACAAGGUCCGGUUUCUCGAGUAGUGAUGAGCUCUGCAAGGUUGGGAACCCUGAUUAAGCAUCUAGAGCAAUGGGCAGUUGAAAGGGACUGAGCCUGAGCACUAAGGGGCAAGAUGUGGCCAUCAGGGAGGGACUAUGGGCCAAGUGAGCCCAUUAGGUCCCACAUGGUAUCAUGGGUAACAUGGGUAUCGUGGGUAACAUCGUAUCUUGGCUCUCAGAUAUGUUUGGCUAUUGGAAGCAUAAACUAUGAUUCCUGACAGUUUUCAUUCCUGAAUUACUUUCUAAACAAAUUUUAUAUCCAUUUCACAGAGAGUUAUAAAUGUACAAGCUGCUCUCUUAAUGCAUGUAGUGCUGACAUGGAGACGACUUGUGAAGCCUCUCAAAGCUGCUACAGAUACAAGCAAGAAUUAAGGACAUAAGGUAUGCUGUGCCAGGCCCCUCCCCAUGCUGCUAGUCAUGUGAGACAGAGAAAGUGCUUAGAGUGAGGGAGGUUGCUGCUUUUAGCAACUUGAUGGAGUUCCUCACUUCCCUCUCACCUUCUAUUUUACCCUGCUUCCUAAUGUAGCAUUCUACCCAUAUGGGGCUGGCAUUAUGGGGUGGUGGGAAGUGGCAGGGUGGGAGACUCUGGGAAAAAGUCUGGGCAAUCACUGUUCUUCAUCAGCCCCACUGAAAUAUGACAUUCCCAUUGUAACAAAUGCUUGCAAACCAUCCUUCCAUUGGUUUAUACCAUGGACCAAUGCAGAAGGACUCUUGAAGAAGGGGAAAGACUAAAGACAAAAGGAUUUGAGGCAAGAAUCCAAUACUGGCAGCCCAUUUAGGCAUCACUCUGUAUGGUUCAAAGGGGAAAUUCCUUCUGGGGUUUGGUUCUGUGCAGGGGAACUCCUACAAUAUGUUGAAGAGAAAGGUUGUUCUUCAAGCAAUUGUGUCCCAAUGAUGUUCUCAGCAACACUGGGGGAUAAUCAAACAUUUGUGUACAAUCACCAAUGCUGCCAAGAUGAGCUCUGUAACCAAGGGAACUUCCAAGUGCCUCGGAAGUCCUCAAAACCCAAUGGAAUUAAAUGUCCUGCCUGCUACAAUGUGCAUGACAUUUCCUGUGACCCAGUUCUUCUUACCUGCACUGGUACAGAGACAAAGUAUGUGGAAGUUAUUGGCAUAGAUAACCCUAUAUUUUUGAUUUUUGCCAUGGGUUGUGCUACUGAAACUGCCUGCAACUUGAAGAAUAUAAGUAUAUUGAAUAACAUAAAAAUCCGUACCUACUGUGUAGAACAAAGUGGUGGAGACCCCCGCUGAUGUUCAUCACCUCAUCAAUCUUGAAUAAUCCCUUCUUGUUCCAAGUCUUGCUUUGAAGUUUCCAGUGUUACCAAGCUCAUAAUCCUACAAACCUGAAAAGGUUGGAGUCCUCAGAUGACUCCCCUCCCCAGCAUUCCCAAGACAAUGCAGAAUUAAAUUGUUGAUACUUCCUUAA